UACGGAGGAUGCGAGCGUUAUCCGGAUUUAUUGGGUUUAAAGGGUGCGUAGGCGGUCUGUUAAGUCAGCGGUAAAAUUGCGGGGCUCAACCCCGUCGAGCCGUUGAAACUGGCAGACUUGAGUUGGCGAGAAGUACGCGGAAUGCGCGGUGUAGCGGUGAAAUGCAUAGAUAUCGCGCAGAACUCCGAUUACGAAGGCAGCGUACCGGCGCCAGACUGACGCUGAGGCACGAAAGCGUGGGGAUCGAACAGG
rnacentral:rRNA from 1 species